AUUGAACGCUGGCGGCAUGCCUUACACAUGCAAGUCGAACGGCAGCACGGGUGCUUGCACCUGGUGGCGAGUGGCGAACGGGUGAGUAAUACAUCGGAACAUGUCCUGUAGUGGGGGAUAGCCCGGCGAAAGCCGGAUUAAUACCGCAUACGAUCUACGGAUGACAGCGGGGGACCUUCGGGCCUCGCGCUAUAGGGUUGGCCGAUGGCUGAUUAGCUAGUUGGUGGGGUAAAGGCCUACCAAGGCGACGAUCAGUAGCUGGUCUGAGAGGACGACCAGCCACCCUGGGACUGAGACACGGCCCAGACUCCUACGGGAGGCAGCAGUGGGGAAUUUUGGACAAUGGGCGAAAGCCUGAUCCAGCAAUGCCGCGUGUGUGAAGAAGGCCUUCGGGUUGUAAAGCACUUUUGUCCGGAAAGAAAUCCUUGGCCCUAAUACGGUCGGGGGAUGACGGUACCGGAAGAAUAAGCACCGGCUAACUACGUG
rnacentral:rRNA from 1 species